GACGAACGCUGGCGGCGUGCUUAACACAUGCAAGUCGAACGGAAAGGCCCUGCUUUUGUGGGGUGCUCGAGUGGCGAACGGGUGAGUAACACGUGAGUAACCUGCCCUUGACUUUGGGAUAACUUCAGGAAACUGGGGCUAAUACCGCAUAGGAGCUCCUGCUGCAUGGUGGGUGUUGGAAAGUUUCGUCGGUUGGGGAUGUACUCGCGGCUUCUCAGCUUGUUGGUGGGGUAGUGGCUUACCCACGCUUUGACGGUUAGCCGGCCUGAGAGGGUGACCGGGCACAGUGGGACUGAGAUAGGGCCCAGACUCCUACGGGAGGCAGCGGUGGGGAAUAUUGCGCAAUGGGCGGAAGCCUGAUGCAGCGACGCCGGGUGCGGGAUGACGGCUUUCGGGUUGUAAACCGCGUGCGCCUGUGACGAAGCGUCAGUGACGGUAACGUGUAAAGAAGAACCGGCUAACUACGUG
rnacentral:rRNA from 1 species